rnacentral:misc_RNA from 1 species
UCCGUGUUAACCACGGCAGUCUCUCUAGAGUGCCCAACUUAAUGCUGGCAACUAAAGACAAGGGUUGCGCUCGUUGCGGGACUUAACCCAACAUGUCACCACACGAGCUGACGACAGCCAUGCAGCACCUGUCACUUUGUUGUAUUGCUACAAAAACCGUAUCUCUACGGCGGUCAAAGGAUGUCAAACCCAGGUAAGGUUCUGCGCGUUGCUUCGAAUUAAACCACAUAAUCCACCGCUUGUGCGGGCCCCCGUCAAUUCCUUUGAGUUUUAGUCUUGCGACCGUACUUCCCAGGCGGGGUACUUAUUGCGUUAGCUCCGACUCGGCAGGGGUCAAGUCCCACCAAGUCUAGUACCCAUCGUUUACAGCGUGGACUAC